CCAGCCCAGCCGUCUUCUCAGUUGUCCCUCAUUCUCUCUCUCUGACUCUCGGCUUUGCUCAGCAACGCCGUUUUCACGUCGGUCUUCAACAUCACCUUAUCACCGACGGCGUAAAAUCUCGUCACUAACGCAAAAACUCAAGGUGAAUCGAUCGAUUUGUUGGAUAAGGAGCUUUUCUGUAUCGAGGAAUAAGAUUUUUUGAUCGAGUUUAUUCUCUUGUGAGGUGUUUCUCUUCCCUUACUUCUGCAGCGGCGGCAGUGGUGAUGGGGAUGGUUCGGCGGUGUUAUGAUUAUAAGCCUUCUUCCGCUUUUCUUUUUCCUGGUCAGGUGAAGUUUAUUCACUCUUUUCAUUUCGAAAUUUCAUUUUUGUUGGGUAUGAUUUGAUGAUGUUCUGAAAUAAGGAAUUUGAUGAACUAAUGUUGCUUGAAAGUUGUUUUUAAUCUCAUCAUGAAAAGCGAAAUAACUAAAAAAAAUUUUUGUUACAUUGGCUUCUAAUCUGUUGGUUUUUUUUUUUUUUAUCAAUGAAUGCAUCUUUUUGUUAAGUAUUCAAGAAUUGUAUUUACAAAUGAUACUGGGGGAGUGCCGCCAUGUACAAAAUGAAGGCAUAACUAUCAUGCCCUUAGGUUACGAUGUAUAACUAGUAACUAUUUCUAUGUACACAAAACGAAUGCAUGCUAUUUCUACAGCACUUGCUCAGACUUUACAAAAGCCUCAGACAAAGCAUCUCAUACCCUUGAAGUAGAAGCAA